rnacentral:rRNA from 1 species
AGUGAACGCUGGCGGUAGGCCUAACACAUGCAAGUCGAACGGCAGCACAGUAAGAGCUUGCUCUUACGGGUGGCGAGUGGCGGACGGGUGAGGAAUACAUCGGAAUCUACUUUUUCGUGGGGGGUAACGUAGGGAAACUUACGCUAAUACCGCAUACGACCUACGGGUGAAAGCAGGGGAUCUUCGGACCUUGCGCGAUUGAAUGAGCCGAUGUCGGAUUAGCUAGUUGGCGGGGUAAAGGCCCACCAAGGCGACGAUCCGUAGCUGGUCUGAGAGGAUGAUCAGCCACACUGGAACUGAGACACGGUCCAGACUCCUACGGGAGGCAGCAGUGGGGAAUAUUGGACAAUGGGCGCAAGCCUGAUCCAGCCAUACCGAGUGGGUGAAGAAGGCCUUCGGGUUGUAAAGCCCUUUUGUUGGGAAAGAAAAGCAGCAGGUUAAUACCCCGCUGUUCUGACGGUACCCAAAGAAUAAGCACCGGCUAACUUCGUG